GGAGAUUAUGGCAAAACCAAAGUUAUUUCCUUACUUUAAGGAUUGCAUCGGAGCGAUAGAUGGCACUCACGUGGCAGCGGCACCAUCGGACUAUAUGCAAGUGCAAUAUCACGGCCUUAAGAGUGUACCCAACUAAAAUGUGAUGGCUCUAUUCGCUUAUGUGAAGACCAGUUGGCAGGAAUCCGCCCAUAACACCAAAAUGUUGAUGGAGACAGUAGUCAAACCGGAAUUUCCGUUACCCCCAUCUGGUAGGUAUCAUAUUCCACUUGUUAGAUUAAUAUGCAAAACUCUCACGUAUUGUCUAAUGGCUACACAUCUCUCAAUUCAAUUACGGGGAAAUAUUACGUCAUCGAUGCUGAUACCCCAAUAUGACGGGUUUCUUGGCACCUUACAAUGGAGAGAACUAUCAUCCAAGUCAUUUUGAAGGACAUCAUGUUAAUUCUCGAAAGGAGCUGUUUAACAAGCGGCAUUCGUCAGUUCGGAACGUCAUUGAACCAUGUUUUGGUGUCCUUAAGAACAUAUUUGUCAUAUUAGGACUGAUGCCCAAUUUCCCGGUCUAUAAGCAAGUGGACAUUGUGCUAUCGUGUUUUGUCCUUCACAAUUUCAUCAAAACGAGGAUCAUUUCGAUCAUUUGUUUGAAGAGCAUGGAGAUAACUACUAUGAUGUAGAAGACAAAUUGCCCCAAGAAGGACAAGUAGUGGAAGUGGACUUCAGUACUAUUGAGAUGGACCGACAAGGCAAACGCAUAUCAGUAGAACUGUGGAGUAAUUGGGACGGCAGUGACUAAUGUUGCAUGAGCGUAUCUCGGACUUAUCUGGAUUGCAUGUUCUUUUUAUUCAAUCGAAAGGAAAGGAGAAUUGAUGUGAGGAAAAAAAAAAAAAACAUCACAAGCGCCUGACA